UGCCUAUUUACUAACAGCUUGACCAUGGCAAUUUCCUGACGUCCCUCAGCCUCAGUGUCCACAUCUGUAAAAUGGUAACAAAAUCAGUAUCUGCCUGGCAGCGUCAGAAAAAUUGAGAUAAUUCACGGAAAGCACUAACCUGGAUUGACACAUAGUCAUUCAGGAAAUCACUGGAGACAUAAUUUCAAGGCACCAGGACCCCAGAUGUUUACUAAGCUACACUGUGAUUGACAUUGUCAAUCUAGGGACAACUGAUGGCCAAUGAGGGGACCAAAUCAACUGUAGCCUCUUGUUGGUUCUGACACAUUCAUAUAUUCAGCAAACAUCUGAGUUUCUUGCAUUAUCAGUUGAGAGGGUUGGAGUGGCUCAGAGGACAGGCAGACACCGUACAGAGAAGAUUCCCUGGACGGGUAGCCUUUUGGGUUGGGACACCAUCAAGCUCCAACAGGGAAGAGGACAGGAGGUCCUUUAGUUUGUACUAAGAAGAUGAGGACCAGAAGAUUCUGGAAGAAUAAGGAAGGAGAAAUGAAGUGGGGAGUCUUCCUCAGCCCAUCCCACCCUUUGGACCUUUAAACCACUGCUCCACUUUCCUUAACCUGCCUGUGGGUUGCCUAGACCUGGGUGGGUGACCGAUUCCAGGUAACUGACAAGGCCCCUGUCCCUUUGUUCUCCCUUCCCCACCUCCCAGCCCCUGCCUCCCCACAGCUGCGAUAACCCACACGUAGCACUCUGCCCUCUGGAAUUUAUUUUAAGGUCUUGGCUUGUUUAUUUAUUUUAUUUAGAGAUUUCUCGGUGCUUUGUGGGGAGGAAAAUUCGAAUGGGGUGAUUAUGAAAUACUAUUUCACCUCGCUGUUCAUUCACAACAAACAAAGAGAAAUGAUUGGUGAUUAAAAAUGCAUUCUCUCUGCUUGUUUUCUUUUGUUUUACCAUUAUGGAAAUAUUAUAAAUACUGAAUACUAAUCUGGA